ACGGAAGGCAGCAGUGGGGAAUAUUGCACAAUGGAGGAAACUCUGAUGCAGCGACGCCGCGUGAGUGAAGAAGUAUUUCGGUAUGUAAAGCUCUAUCAGCAGGAAAGAAAAUGACGGUACCUGACUAAGAAGCCCCGGCUAACUACGUGCCAGCAGCCGCGGUAAUACGUAGGGGGCAAGCGUUAUCCGGAUUUACUGGGUGUAAAGGGAGCGUAGACGGUAUUGCAAGUCUGAAGUGAAAACCCGGGGCUCAACUCCGGGAUUGCUUUGGAAACUGUAGUACUAGAGUGCAGGAGAGGUAAGUGGAAUUCCUAGUGUAGCGGUGAAAUGCGUAGAUAUUAGGAGGAACACCAGUGGCGAAGGCGGCUUACUGGACUGUAACUGACGUUGAGGCUCGAAAGCGUGGGGAGCAAACAGGAUUAGAUACCCUGGUA
rnacentral:rRNA from 1 species